UCUUCGGACAGGCGACGACCGGCGCACGGGUGAGUAUCGCGUUUGUAACCUACCUUUAACCGGAGAAUAGCCCGAAGAAAUUCGGAUUAAUACUCCAUAAUACUAUGAUCUGGCAUCUUUUUAUAGUUAAAGCUCCGGCGGUUACAGAUGGGCAUGCGUAACAUAAGAUAGUUGGUGAGGUAACGGCUCACCAAGUCUACGAUGUUUAGGGGGUCUGAGAGGAUGGUCCCCCACACUGGUACUGAGACACGGACCAGACUCCUACGGGAGGCAGCAGUGAGGAAUAUUGGUCAAUGGGCGCAAGCCUGAACCAGCCAUGCCGCGUGAAGGAUGACAGCGCUAUGCGUUGUAAACUUCUUUUGUACAGGAAGAAACCCUGCUACGUGUAGCAGUUUGACGGUACUGUACGAAUAAGCAUCGGCUAACUCCGUGCCAGCAGCCGCGGUAAUACGGAGGAUGCAAGCGUUAUCCGGAUUUAUUGGGUUUAAAGGGUACGUAGGCGGAAAAUUAAGUCAGUAGUGAAAUCCUGCAGCUUAACUGUAGAACUGUUAUUGAUACUGGUUUUCUUGAAUAUAGUUGAGGUAGGCGGAAUGUGUAAUGUAGCGGUGAAAUGCUUAGAUAUUACACAGAACACCGAUUGCGAAGGCAGCUUACUAAGCUAUGAUUGACGCUGAGGUACGAAAGCGUGGGGAGCGAACAGGAUUAGAUACCCUGGUAGUCCACGCCGUAAACGAUGAUCACUCGUUGUUGGCAAUACAUAGUCAGCGACUGAGCGAAAGCAUUAAGU
rnacentral:rRNA from 1 species